rnacentral:tRNA from 3 species
UGCGGGGUAGAGCAGUCUGGUUAGCUCGACAGGCUCAUAACCUGUAGGUCGUUGGUUCAAAUCCGUCCCCCGCAA